rnacentral:rRNA from 1 species
AACGAACGCUGGCGGCAUGCCUAACACAUGCAAGUCGAACGAGACCUUCGGGUCUAGUGGCGCACGGGUGCGUAACGCGUGGGAACCUGCCCUUAGGUUCGGCAUAACUCCCCGAAAGGGGUGCUAAUACCGGAUAAUGUCUUCGGACCAACGAUUUAUCGCCUUUGGUUGGGCCCGCGUUGGAUUAGCUAGUUGGUAGGGUAAAAGCCUACCAAGGUGACGAUCCAUAGCUGGUCUGAGAGGAUGAUCAGCCACACUGGGACUGUGACACGGCCCAGACUCCUACGGGAGGCAGCAGUGGGGAAUAUUGGACAAUGGGCGAAAGCCUGAUCCAGCAAUGCCGCGUGAGUGAUGAAGGCCUUAGGGUUGUAAAGCUCUUUUACCCGGGAUGAUAAUGACAGUACCGGGAGAAUAAGCGCCGGCUAACUCCGUG